CGGUGGAUGCCUUGGCACUGGGAGCCGAUGAAGGACGGAACGAACGCCGAUACGCUUCGGGGAGCUGUAAGUAAGCUUUGAUCCGAAGAUUUCCGAAUGGGGGAACCCGCCAUCCUGAACGGAUGGCAUGCUCUGCUGAAUCCAU
rnacentral:rRNA from 1 species